CUAAUCAUGACAUUGAAGAAUACAUAGAGAUAAAAUUACAAGUGUGGAAUGGACGAGAUAAUUCUUCCCUCAUCUUAUUGUUUCUUCUGCUUUGUCACUUCCUUAGCAGUAAGUCUAGAGACCAAUGCAACCGCCGGAUUUUAUUUUCUAUCAGUAAGGAAAAAUAAAUCCCAUUAUCCAAAUUACAUAUACUAAAGUAAAAACCUGUCUAUUACUGAACAGUUAUCUGCAAUCAUUUCAGUAGCAGAAAAUAAAAGAAACAGGAGCUGAGAAAAAUGGAAUGCAUCUCCAAGCGGACACAGUUAUUCGAAACAAAAGAAGAUGGUGGUGGGUUGUAAUAAUAGAACGGAAAGUAAGGAACUAUUGGGUUUGGUGGCGGUGGGCCUUGGUAGUUCCCAUUGUUUGGCGGGGGAUAAAAUGCUCCCCCAUCUGCAGGUGGAGGCGGAGACGAGUAUAUGUACGUAGGCUCUGAUGGCGGCGGCGGGGAAGAGUAAUAGGAGCCUGAAAUCGGCGUUACUGGCGGAGGCGGACAGUCAGAGACAAUAGCCGGAGACGGCGGAGGAGGAGGUGGAGGGCAAGUAGAGACCGGAGGAGGAGGAGAUGGGAGGGGUUGACAAGGAUUAUCACAUGCAGAGCACAUUGUGCAUGAUAUUUGGUCUUUGGACACAGUUGAUGUGGCUAAUGAGGCGUUGAUAGGGAAAAUGAGGAGGAGAAUGAAGAAUGAGAAGAGGGCAAUGACGUUUCCCAUAAUCAAAACUGUAAAAUAAGGAAAGUGUGCGAGACUGAGAGUAUGGGAAAGAAAG
rnacentral:misc_RNA from 1 species